rnacentral:tRNA from 1 species
GCCUGGUUGGCUCAAUGGGUUGGGCGACCAACUUCGGCUCAGGUCAUGAUCCCAUGGUGGUCCAUGGGUUCAAGCCCCACAUCAGGCU